AGGAGGUGUACUAUAGGAGGCAUAUUAUAGGAGGUGUAUUAUAGGAGGCAUAUUAUAGGAGGUGUACUAUAGGAGGCAUAUUAUAGGAGGUGUAUUAUAGGAGGCGUAUUAUAGGAGGCAUACUAUAGGAGGCGUACUAUAGGAGGCGUAUUAUAGGAGGCAUACUAUAGGAGGUGUACUAUAGGAGGUGUAUUAUAGGAGGCAUAUUAUAGGAGGUGUACUAUAGGAGGCAUAUUAUAGGAGGUGUAUUAUAGGAGGCGUAUUAUAGGAGGCAUAUUAUAGGAGGUGUAUUAUAGGAGGCGUAUUAUAGGAGGUGUACUAUAGGAGGCAUAUUAUAG